GAUGUGCCUCUUGGAGAUUACAUCGGAGUUCAAUAGUCCAAGAAUGCUACAUAUGUGCCUCACACUGCAGCUUUUGGAGUGGUUUUAUUUGAACUCAUUACUGGAAGAAAACCAAUUUAAACCAAAAGAUUUCCAUGAGAAGAGAAUUUAGUAUUACGGCCAUAUUAUCUGAAGAGUGGCAACACAACUAUAAGGCAGACUGGAGGUUCCCUUGCUUCCUCAACAAAAUCAUUG